ACUCCUACGGGAGGCAGCAGUGGGGAAUUUUGGACAAUGGGCGAAAGCCUGAUCCAGCAAUGCCGCGUGCAGGAUGAAGGCCUUCGGGUUGUAAACUGCUUUUGUACGGAACGAAAAAGCUCCUUCUAAUACAGGGGGCCCAUGACGGUACCGUAAGAAUAAGCACCGGCUAACUACGUGCCAGCAGUCGCGGUAAUACGUAGGGUGCGAGCGUUAAUCGGAAUUACUGGGCGUAAAGCGUGCGCAGGCGGUUAUGUAAGACAGAUGUGAAAUCCCCGGGCUCAACCUGGGAACUGCAUUUGUGACUGCAUGGCUAGAGUACGGUAGAGGGGGAUGGAAUUCCGCGUGUAGCAGUGAAAUGCGUAGAUAUGCGGAGGAACACCGAUGGCGAAGGCAAUCCCCUGGACCUGUACUGACGCUCAUGCACGAAAGCGUGGGGAGCAAACAGGAUUAGAAACCCGAGUAGUCC
rnacentral:rRNA from 1 species